rnacentral:rRNA from 1 species
AUGGAGGCCCCCGCCGGGAGCGGCAAGCCGCCGUACAGGCUCCCUGCAAGGGUGUUCAAGAUGUUGUACGCCGACCAGCGUGAGGGGCUCAGCUGGCUCUGGUCUCUGCAUUGCAGGGAAACCGGUGGAAUCCUGGGGGACGACAUGGGACUUGGCAAGACGAUGCAGGAAGGGGGUAUCCUGUUGACAACGUAUGAUAUUGCCCGGAUCAACUAUAGGCUGAUAAUAGGAGACUUCUAUAAUGAUGCUGAUGACGAGGAAGAGGGGAAGAUUUGGAAUUAUGUUGUUCUUGACGAGGCACAUUUUAUCAAGAACCCCAAGACACAAAGAGCCCAAAGCCUAUUUGAAAUACCUUGUGUCCAUCGGAUUGCCAUCAGUGGAACGCCUAUACAAAAUAACUUGAAGGAAAUGUGGGCUCUGUUCUCUUUUUGUUGCCCGGAAGUCUUGGGUGAUAAGCAAGAGUUCAGAACAUUGUAUGAAUUGCCUAUCAAUCGAGGAAAUGACAAGACUGCUAGCAACCGAGCCAAGCAUGUAGGCUCAAAUGUAGCAAAGGAAUUAAGGGAACGUAUAAAGCCAUAUUUCUUGCGACGUAUGAAAAAUGAAGUGUCUCUUGAGACUGGUUUGACAGAUGAUAAACAGCUUCCGAAGAAGAAUGAGCUAAUUAUCUGGCUGAAAUUAACAGAUUGCCAGAGGCAACUAUAUAAAGCAUUUCUGAACUCUGAGCUAGUUCAUUUAGCAUCUCAAGGAAAUCCCUUGGCUGCUCUCAUGGUAUUGAAGAAAAUAUGUAAUCACCCACUCAUAUUGACCAAGAGAGCUGCUGAGGACAUCCUGGAAGGCAUGGACGGAAUGUCAAAUAAUCAGGAUAUGUUGAUGGCUGAAAAUAUGGUCAUGAACCUUGCAGAUAUGGCUCAUGCUGAUGAUGCACUGCAAGCAGAUCAAGAAGUCUCAUGCAAGUUAUCUUUUAUGUCCUUGUUGGUAAGCAUUCCAAAAUAUAUGUCAAGUUAUCUCUGA